GUUAGGACAACUUAUGCAUCCAUUAUGGAAAUUGUAUUCAUGCAAGACAAAAAUGGAAGCAUCCUGGAAGCAACGUUAUUUCAAUUAUUCAAAGUAGAAGCAUUCGUUUUUCAUGAAAACGUCGUCAUAAAAAGGUUCAAACUUGUGCUUCAUUAAUUCAUUCCAAACUUUAACUGGUUUAAUGGUGUUUUGAAGGUUGUUUGCUUCGAAGUUUGAGAGUUUUCGAUCGAAGCAUUUUUGUUUUCAUGGUAUCUGGAGUAAAUUUGAGAUGGAUGGAUGUGUUGGUGAAGAUGAUUGAUAGUUUCAAGCUAUGUUUUUCUACACUAUGGGCAUUACAACAGAGAAAAUUUUUGAGGGUGUUUAGUGCUGUAGUUUCCAAUAUAAGGUCUGUGGUUAGGGGUUUUGCUUCUUUGUUAACUACAAUGCAACAGACCACUAGAGCUGAUCAUUUAUAUGUAACUUUAAACUAAAUUCUUAUGUAGUUCUUUAGAUACAUAUACAGUACUGUAUCCUCUUUUCGAUUAUUGAUGAUAAAUAAUAUAUAUGUAUUCGGCCGUGGAUAUAGGUUGGAUUUCAGGAAUAAUUUUCUUUUAUUACUAGUAUUAAGCUACGAUUUUUGCUGAAGUAUAAGCAUUAUAGCCCCUUCGAUCCCCAACCCCAGUCUCACUUGUAGGUUACAUAUACAUAAGACUCUCGCCGAUACUGCUCAGAUUUCUGGAUCUCUCCCGGAUGGCCGGAUGGUACGUUUUACUGAUGUUGACAUGCACCAUGAGAAAUCUCUUGUAAUUCACCCUCUUUCAUAUAUUCGAUACUUGUAGUAGUUCAUCAUAAUACAGUAUAUAUAAUUUGCAAGUUCCCUAAGUAGGCCAAGUGUUUUCUUACAAUUCAUAAGUAAAUCAGCUGAUGCGCGAUUAAUUAA
rnacentral:lncRNA from 1 species